GAUGAAGAACGUAGCGAAAUGCGAUAAGUAAUGUGAAUUGCAGAAUUCAGUGAAUCAUCGAAUCUUUGAACGCACAUUGCGCCCGCCGGUAUUCCGGCGGGCAUGCCUGUCCGAGCGUCAUUUCACCACUCAAGCCCGGCUUGGUGUUGGACGGUUUUGGUGGGGACGUGCAGCCUCUCACCCCUCCUAAAGACAAUGACGGCGGCGUCGUUGGGACCCCCGGUACACUGAGCUUCUUAACUGAGCACGUACUGGACGCGGGUACGCGACGCACGGUCUGCCUCCCCUUUAAGGGAGAACUUUUUCUUAAGGUUGACCUCGGAUCAGGUAGGAAUACCCGCUGAACUUAAGCAUAUCAAUAAGCGGAGGA
rnacentral:misc_RNA from 1 species